rnacentral:lncRNA from 1 species
AGCAGUUUCAUACAAAGAAAAUUAUAUAACCAUAAAGAGAAAGUGAGAAAUAAAAACCAUUUUCCAAGUUAACAAGAGGCUAGAGAUUUUUUGUAGCCGAAUCUUCCUGGUUAACUUGAAUUUUACCCUUAGAAAGUGCGAUCACUUUAGAAGGGGGAGAAAGAGGAGCAAGAGUAGAAGUUAUAGGUGGCUCAACGAAAACAGUAACCUUACUUAGAUUGAUAGCUGGAGAAUCUAUGGGCUUAGGAGGUUCGGUAUGAAGUGAUGGAGUAUCUAGGGCCUUAGAGGCCAAAGGAGAAGCCUCAGGAGAUAAGGUGUCUUCGACAUAUUUUUCAGGAGAUAAGGUAUCUUAUCUCUUUGUAAUUGCUUUUCUCUUUCAUAGCCUCCUAUAGCUUCUUCUGAGGAGUACUACGUCUCUUCUCCAAAAAUUAAACGUUUUAUACAAACUAUUAGCUCUCAAAACAAUGACCUUAUAUUCUACCUGAUGAUCAUGAUGUAGUACAUCUACUCGCAUGAGAUGAGAAUCAAUCAUUUUUCCUUUUUGAAUAAGGCUAAUUUCUUCCACAAGAUUUUACUAGGAUUGAUUGAAAUACGUGUAUACAAAUCUCGCUUCCUAAGAGAUAAGGCAGGAAAAAUAGACAAAACCCCCGAAUCUAAUUCAUUAUUCAUUCGAGGCUGAAUAAAUGCUUGGAAUCUAGAACAAACUUCCUUGGAGAAUAAGAAAUUUUUAGAUUUGGAAUCUGUUUGGAUCCACUAGGCAUUUUCCUCUUCCAUUCAAUAGGAUCUUUAAUGCGAGUUGGCGAGGGAGGAAGCAUGGUCUCCAAGUGUAAGGACCAGUGAGCUGAAGAAGCAGCAGCAGGGGCUGUCAUCUUCCAGGCUCCUGUAAAGGUACUUAUCACCUAAACGCACCUUCGACCACCAGUGAAGGCACAAUCUUGGACCCUCGAGAUCCCUCAAAAGGUAACUCCACAAGAAGGAGAGGCGUCGAAGUCUUCUGGUAUGGAGUCCAUCAACGAUUGGCGAUAAAAUUGAUCUACACUGAAAAAAUGAAUA